AUUCUUUUGCAGUGGCAUAUCAUAGCCUAUGAAGUCCAUCUGAGGCGUGAUUAUUGCUGAUUGAAAACUUAACCCAAUACCCCGCUUGGGAUGACUUGAAAUUAUAGUCAUCCUUGGCAAUAUUUGAUAGUCUCAUGUGAAACUACUAUAAAUGUGAAAGAGA
rnacentral:snRNA from 1 species